UCUAAUCAUUCAUUCAUUCCAUUCAGUGUGGCCAUUCCCUUGCGAACUGGCGUUUCAUAUCCAAAGGUUCGGUAUAACUUCUACACGCCGCUCGAACUUGCGUCAGACUGCUUUCGGCGGCAGAUGAUCUUCCUGCUCAGAGUGAACCAAGGUCGACGGCCGCGAAUUCCAUGGCGAAGCGACACCGUUCUAUAUUCGAACUCCAGCCUGAAUUUUUUCACUCCUGUCGCCUCCUUGCUUCCCCUCGAUUGUCCGCUUCCGACAAUCUUCAGAAUUGCUACAACUCAGUUCACGAAACCGUUGACCCUAUUGAGAAGGACGCUGAUGGCUUCCAAGACGUCGUUUUUUCAGUGCCCAGAUGGACUUGCAAUACUUGCAAGGCUCAAUUUGACUCCCUUCAAGACCAGCGUUUGCAUUUCAAAUCGGAUGUUCAUCGUUUCAAUGUGAAGUUGACAAUGGCUGGAAAGAGUAUUGUUAAGGAAGAAGAUUUUGGGCUGUUGACAUCUGAUUCUAUUAAAGACUAUGAUGUUUCGAGUAUAUCAGGAUCAGAAGAUGAUGAUGAUGGUGAUGAUGAUAUUGAAACUCGGAGACAAAAUGUUCGUGACAAAUUAAGUGAAAGUUUUAGGCAGAAGUUAAUUAUCUGCCUUCCGACAGGGGAAAGAGUUUCUAUUUGGAAGUGCUUAGUAAUGAACAUGGGUGACAAUAUACUGAAUGAGAACGAAGUGAUUGAGAGGUUGAAGUCCUUGACUCUUGAGCCCAGGAAUAAAUCUCGCUUGAGAAUUGUGCUGCUUGCAUCUGGUGGGCACUUUGCAGGUUGUGUGUUUGAUGGUGAUGAGCUUGUGGCUCACAAGACAUUCCACAGAUAUGUUGUGAGGGCUAAGGCAGGGAAAAAACAGUCAACAAAAGAUGCUACUGGUAGGGCUGCCCAUUCUGCAGGGGCUUCACUCCGCCGCCACAAUGAACUUGCAUUAAGGAAGGAAAUUCAAGAGCUGCUUACUGGUUGGAGAGCUUAUUUUGAUGCUUCGAAUUGCAUAUUCGUACAUGAUCCAUCAAGUAGUCGUCAAUUGCUCUUUGAUGGAGAGAGACCGUAUUUUAGUAACCAGCAUAAUGUUACUAGAAGCAUUCCAUUGACUGUCCGAAGGCCUACUUUGAGAGAAGCAAAGCGUGUGUAUAGCCAGUUGACUCAAGUAUCCUAUGAGGUAGAAGAGGAUUUAGGGUCAACUCCCAUUACUGUGAGAAAUGCCAACCCAGCCGUUGACAAAGAAGCAUUUACUAACUCAGAUAGCCAGGAUAAAAGUGAGGCUUGUUCAAGUAAACAAGAUGAUAGUGAACUCCUUAUUUCAAGUGCGAGUGAGAGCGAAAAUGGGAUAAUGGGUAAAUCAACUCCUUUGCAUCAAGCUGUGCAAUCUGGUGACUCUCACAAGGUUCUGAAGUUACUGGAACAGGGCAUAGAUCCUUGCAUUAAAGAUGAAAGAGGAAGGACCCCUUAUAUGUUGGCGCAUGAUAAAGAAGUGCGGAAUACUUUCAGAAGGUUCAUGGCAUCAAACCCUGAAAAAUGGGAUUGGCGUGCAGCAAAAGUGCCUAGUGCAUUGACCAAAGAAAUGGAAGAAUCACAAGCAGCCAAGCAGGCUGAAAAGGAUGCCAAGAGAAAAGCCAGAGCAAAAGAAUUAAAAAAAUUACGUAAAGCAAAAGAAAAAAGGGCUCAGGCUGAAGCUGCUAAGAAUGCUUCCAAAACUGCAGAAAACGAAGUGAAUGCUGUAACUUCUACUCAGAAAUUAUCUAAAGAGGAGGAACUGAGAAGAGCUCAGGCUGAAGAAAGAGAGAAGAGAGCUGGGGCUGCUGAGAGAAGACUUGCUGCCCUCAAGAUUCAAGGCAGCAGUGCGACAACCGUCUUGAGCACUUCAGAACCAAAAGAAUUUAUGUAAACUGAUGACUUGGAUCGUACGUCUCGGAAACCUCGCUUGCAAGGAAAGAUGUCAUUUUGCGGAUCGCCCUGAAGAAAUGUUGUAAGCAUGAAUGUUGAAAGAAAGAAAGGGAUUGAUGAGUGUGAACUCAAGUUGAGAAAGUUCACUAUUGUGAUAGGUAUUUGAUAACUUGAGCACAAUGUCUAGCAUGCAUUUCCGCAGAAGACUUUGAACUGGGGGCAUAACUGUUAAAAUGAAGGUUUAGCAUAUUUGCCAUUCAAGGAGAAAAAAUUCUGCUUCUGUUGCUGAGUACAAUGGUGCAUUUAUUAGUUCAACACUUCAAUUUAUAUUAGAUGACAUUUGCCUUC